CCUACGGGGGGCUGCAGUGGGGAAUAUUGGACAAUGGGGGGAACCCUGAUCCAGCCAUGCCGCGUGUGUGAAGAAGGCCCUCGGGGUGUAAAGCACUUUCAGUGAGGAAGAACGCCUGGUGGUGAAUACCCAUCAGGAAAGACAUCACUCACAGAAGAAGCACCGGCUAACUCCGUGCCAGCAGCCGCGGUAAUACGGAGGGUGCGAGCGUUAAUCGGAAUUACUGGGCGUAAAGCGCGCGUAGGUGGCUUGAUAAGCCGGUUGUGAAAGCCCCGGGCUCAACCUGGGAACGGCAUCCGGAACUGUCAAGCUCGAGUGCAGGAGAGGAAGGUGGAAUUCCCGGUGUAGCGGUGAAAUGCGUAGAGAUCGGGAGGAAUACCAGUGGCGAAGGCGGCCUUCUGGACUGACACUGACACUGAGGUGCGAAAGCGUGGGUAGCAAACAGGAUUAGAUACCCUGGUAGUC
rnacentral:rRNA from 1 species